CCUUAUCAGGGGGCACCCUUUGAUCUCCACGUCGGAGCAGAGUA
rnacentral:tRNA from 1 species